UCACUGCCCCCACCCCUCUCCAUAUUCUAUCCUCCUAUAGGCGAUCAUCACCAUUGCUUGAGACAGUUUAUGCUUAUAUGAAUAAACUUAAGGGGUGUUUUUUGCUAAUCGAUUCCCCAAAAUUCAUCACUACUUCAUCUCUAUCACUCUAAAUGCUAAAUCACAUACCCCCCCUCUGUCUCUCUCUCUCUCUCUCUCUCUCUCUCUCUCUCUCUCUCUCGAUAAAGCGCUAAUCGACUUUCCCACUAAGUAAACACCACCACUAAACCACAACUGAUGCUUCUAUCUAGGUUUGGGGUUUUUUGAAAGUUAGAUUUAAUUUUGGUUUCGUCUUUUAAAUCAGGGUUUAUAAGGUAAACCAUUCAUCCUUCUUAUUUGAGGACCACUGCAUUUGGUGCUUUUACUUUGGACUUAAGAAAUCAUGAAAACUUUUCCUACUAUCUAGAGAGGUGUAAGUAUGUUGAUGAGGGUGAUGAGACUAUUGAAAUCGGACAAAUAAUACACAUUUCAAAGCUAACUCCAGCCUUAAUGGGCUAAUUGUUAACCAGUGAGAUGGACCUUUGGUUACUAAGUCACCCUUCUUUCUUUGUAGCUUUAUUACAAGAAAGAUUGAAACAUUCACAUCAUAUAGUUGAUUAAAACUACUUGGAGGAUACAAGCUAAAGAGAUCAUAUUUUUAUUUGGAUACCUCAUCCUUUCUGAUGGUUUAAAGAACUUUUCAACUACAUGAAAUUUUGUGGUAUCUUUUGUCAAAAUGUAAGCUCUUAUUUUCAUUUUUUAUAUACAUGACGUCCAUGUUUGUAUUUCCACUUCUGGGAUCUUCAGGUAUGAAUUGAUCUUUGUGAAUUACCAUAUA